rnacentral:rRNA from 2 species
GUCGACGCGUUGGCCCAAUUGAUUGAUGGUGCUUGCACCUGAUUGAUUUUGGUGGCCAACGAGUGGCGGACGGGUGAGUAACACGUAGGUAACCUGCCCAGAAGCGGGGGACAACAUUUGGAAACAGAUGCUAAUACCGCAUAACAACGUUGUUCGCAUGAACAACGCUUAAAAGAUGGCUUCUCGCUAUCACUUCUGGAUGGACCUGCGGUGCAUUAGCUUGUUGGUGGGGUAAUGGCCUACCAAGGCGAUGAUGCAUAGCCGAGUUGAGAGACUGAUCGGCCACAAUGGGACUGAGACACGGCCCAUACUCCUACGGGAGGCAGCAGUAGGGAAUCUUCCACAAUGGGCGCAAGCCUGAUGGAGCAACACCGCGUGAGUGAAGAAGGGUUUCGGCUCGUAAAGCUCUGUUGUUAAAGAAGAACACGUAUGAGAGUAACUGUUCAUACGUUGACGGUAUUUAACCAGAAAGUCACGGCUAACUACGUGCCAGCAGCCGCGGUAAUACGUAGGUGGCAAGCGUUAUCCGGAUUUAUUGGGCGUAAAGAGAGUGCAGGCGGUUUUCUAAGUCUGAUGUGAAAGCCUUCGGCUUAACCGGAGAAGUGCAUCGGAAACUGGAUAACUUGAGUGCAGAAGAGGGUAGUGGAACUCCAUGUGUAGCGGUGGAAUGCGUAGAUAUAUGGAAGAACACCAGUGGCGAAGGCGGCUACCUGGUCUGCAACUGACGCUGAGACUCGAAAGCAUGGGUAGCGAACAGGAUUAGAUACCCUGGUAGUCCAUGCCGUAAACGAUGAGUGCUAGGUGUUGGAGGGUUUCCGCCCUUCAGUGCCGGAGCUAACGCAUUAAGCACUCCGCCUGGGGAGUACGACCGCAAGGUUGAAACUCAAAGGAAUUGACGGGGGCCCGCACAAGCGGUGGAGCAUGUGGUUUAAUUCGAAGCUACGCGAAGAACCUU